rnacentral:rRNA from 1 species
UGGGGAAUAUUGCACAAUGGGGGAAACCCUGAUGCAGCGACGCCGCGUGAGCGAAGAAGGUUUUCGAAUCGUAAAGCUCUGUCCUAUGAGAAGAUAAUGACGGUAUCAUAGGAGGAAGCCCCGGCUAAAUACGUGCCAGCAGCCGCGGUAAUACGUAUGGGGCGAGCGUUGUUCGGAAUUAUUGGGCGUAAAGGGUACGUAGGCGUUCUAUUAAGUCAAGUGUGAAAGUGUGAGGCUUAACCUCAUUAAGCACUUGAAACUGAUAGACUUGAGUGAAGGGGAGGAAAGAUGAAUUCCUAGUGUAGCGGUGAAAUGCGUAGAUAGUAGGAGGAAUACCGGUGUAGAAGGCGACUUUCUGGACUUUUACUGACGCUCAGGUACGAAAGCGUGGGGAGCAAACAGG